rnacentral:misc_RNA from 1 species
UAAUAAGUGUUUAUGGCACUUCUUAAAUCCAUAUCCACCUUGUGUGCAAUGUCAGCCGUUUUCUUUAUGAAAGCGGCCAAACAUCAACUUAUUUUUUAACUGUCUGUCUGAAAAAUAUUAUGGAUAAACAAUUCAAAUA